CUACAUCACAUUCAUAUUCUGAAAAUGAAGAGGAAGAAAAUGAGGAGACUGAGUUGCAAGUAGAUGAACAAAGGCCUGCAACCCGAAAAAGAGCAUGGUUUGUUAAUGUCAUUGAUGAUCAAGGAAAGAGAAUUACAAAGCAACUACGAACCAAUGAUGUGUGGCAUUUACCUCCUAAUGAAAGGAUUGUUGUGCAGUGGAAUAAUGAGGGUCAAGCAAUUGCAGAUGGUGGAGCAUUAUUGAAUAGGUUCUUGGGUAGCAUUGCAAGAAACUCUAAUUCUCUUCCUAUUAGUUAUUCUAGUUGGAAGAAGAUUCCUAAAGAUUAUAAAGAAGACAUACUUAAGAAUACUAUUCAGGCUAAGUUUGAUGUCCAUUCUGAUGUUCAUAUAAGCCACAUCCUCAAAUCACUUAACAUAAAGUGGAGAGACCACUGAC